rnacentral:rRNA from 1 species
UACAGAGGGGGCAAGCGUUAUUCGGAAUUAUUGGGCGUAAAGGGCGCGUAGGUGGUUUGUCGCGUUGUCCGUGAAAACUCACAGCUCAACUGUGGGCGUGCGGGCGAUACGGGCAGACUGGAGUACUGCAGGGGAGACUGGAAUUCCUGGUGUAGCGGUGGAAUGCGCAGAUAUCGGGGAAGAACACCCCGUGGCGAAGGCGGUUCUCUGGGACGGUACUGACGCUGAGACGCGAAAGCGUGGGGAGCGAACAGG